UCGCAUAUAAUUUAUAUGAGGAAAGUCUGAGCUUCAUAGAGCAAGGUGCUGGAUAACGUCCAGUGGAGGCGACUCCAAGGCAAGUGCAACAGAAAUAUACCGCCAUUUAUGGUAAGGGUGGAAAGGUGAGGUAAGAGCUCACCAAAAUGUAGGUGACUACAUUGUUAUGUAAACCCCACCUGAAGCAAGACCAAGAAAAGACGUAAAAUAAAGUGGCUCGCUUUAGUCUAAAAGGUAGGUCGCUUGAUGUAAGUGGUAACACUUAUACUAGAUAGAUGAUUAUUUUUAACUAAACUCAGCUUAUAGGUCUACUA
rnacentral:RNase_P_RNA from 1 species